rnacentral:rRNA from 1 species
CAGUAGCCGCGGUAAUACGAGGGGGGCAAGCGUUGUUCGGAAUUAUUGGGCGUAAAGGGUGCGUAGGCGGUUUGACAAGUCUUGUGUGAAAUCUCUGGGCUCAACCCAGAGUCUGCACGGGAAACUGUCGGGCUAGAGGAUGGGAGAGGUGAGUGGAAUUUCCGGUGUAGCGGUGAAAUGCGUAGAUAUCGGAAGGAACACCUGUGGCGAAAGCGGCUCACUGGACCAUUUCUGACGCUGAUGCACGAAAGCUAGGGGAGCAAACAGGAUUAGAUACCCGGGUAGUCCCUGUCUCUUAUCC